GUCGAACGAGAAAGUGGAGCAAUCCAUGAGUAAAGUGGCGCACGGGUGAGUAACACGUGACUAACCUACCCUUGAGUGGGGAAUAACCUAGGGAAACCUGGGCUAAUACCGCAUAACACCUACGGGUCAAAGGAGCAAUUCGCUUAAGGAGGGGGUCGCGGCAGAUUAGCUAGUUGGCGGGGUAAUGGCCCACCAAGGCAGUGAUCUGUAUCCGGCCUGAGAGGGCGCACGGACACACUGGAACUGAAACACGGUCCAGACUCCUACGGGAGGCAGCAGUGGGGAAUUUUGCGCAAUGGGGGAAACCCUGACGCAGCAACGCCGCGUGGAGGAUGAAGUCCCUUGGGACGUAAACUCCUUUCGACCGGGAAGAUUAUGACGGUACCGGAAGAAGAAGCCCCGGCUAACUUCGUGCCAGCAGCCGCGGUAAUACGAGGGGGGCAAGCGUUGUUCGGAAUUAUUGGGCGUAAAGGGUGCGUAGGCGGUUCGGUAAGUCUCGUGUGAAAUCUUCGGGCUCAACUCGAAGUCUGCACGAGAAACUGCCGGGCUUGAGUGUGGGAGAGGUGAGUGGAAUUUCCGGUGUAGCGGUGAAAUGCGUAGAUAUCGGAAGGAACACCUGUGGCGAAAGCGGCUCACUGGACCACAACUGACGCUGAGGCACGAAAGCUAGGGGAGCAAACAGGAUUAGAUACCCUGGUAGUCCUAGCCCUAAACGAUGAUCGCUUGGUGUGAC
rnacentral:rRNA from 1 species